UACGUAGGGGGCUAGCGUUGUCCGGAUUUAUUGGGCGUAAAGAGCGUGUAGGCGGCCAGGUAGGUCUGCUGUGAAAACUCGAGGCUCAACCUCGAGACGUCGGCGGAAACCAUCAGACUAGAGUCCGGAAGAGGAGAGUGGAAUUCCUGGUGUAGCGGUGAAAUGCGCAGAUAUCAGGAAGAACACCCGUGGCUAAGGCGGCUCUCUAGUACGGUACUGACGCUGAGACGCGAAAGCGUGGGGAGCGAACAGG
rnacentral:rRNA from 1 species